rnacentral:rRNA from 1 species
GACGUAGGAUGCAAGCGUUGUCCGGACUUAUUGGGCGUAAAGAGUUCGUAGGCGGUUCGUUAAGUUCGAUGUUAAAGACCGGGGCCCAACCCCGGGACUGCAUUGAAUACUGGCGGACUGGAGUGCAGUAGAGGCAAGUGGAAUUCCCAGUGUAGCGGUGAAAUGCGUAGAUAUUGGGAAGAACACCAGUGGCGUAAGCGACUUGCUGGGCUGUAACUGACGCUGAGGAACGAAAGCCAGGGGAGCGAAUGGG